UACGGGGGGAGCAAGCGUUGUUCGGAUUUACUGGGCGUAAAGGGCGCGUAGGCGGUCAGCACAAGUCAGUUGUGAAAUCUCCGGGCUUAACUCGGAAAGGUCAACUGAUACUGUGCGACUAGAGUGCGGAAGGGGCAACUGGAAUUCUCGGUGUAGCGGUGAAAUGCGUAGAUAUCGAGAGGAACACCUGCGGCGAAGGCGGGUUGCUGGGCCGACACUGACGCUGAUGCGCGAAAGCCAGGGGGAGCAAACGGGG
rnacentral:rRNA from 1 species